ACCCAUGACUACGAUGUGAAGAUGCGCAACGUGAUGAAAUUCCUUGAGGCCGGCGACAAGGUCAAGGUCACCCUGCGCUUCCGCGGCCGCGAGAUGGCGCAUCAGGAUCUGGGUCUGGACCUGCUGAACCGCGUCCGCGACGAUGUCGGAGAGGCCGGCAAGGUCGAGAACAUGCCGAAGCUGGAAGGCCGGCAGAUGGUGAUGAUGAUCGCGCCGCGCUGAGGCGGCGCAGGAACAGGGGGCCGCCUUCGGGCGGCUUUUUUUUGACCGAUGAACACACCCGAGAUCCUGAUCCUGAAAGAUGA
rnacentral:misc_RNA from 1 species